rnacentral:rRNA from 1 species
GAUGAACGCUAGCUACAGGCUUAACACAUGCAAGUCGAGGGGUAACAAGAGAAAAGCUUGCUUUUCUUGUUGACGACCGGCGCACGGGUGAGUAACGCGUAUCCAACCUGCCCAUAACUAGGGAAUAACCUUACGAAAGUAAGACUAAUACCCUAUAAUUUCCUUUGACGGCAUCUGACGAGGAAUAAAGAUUUAUCGGUUAUGGAUGGGGAUGCGUCUGAUUAGCUUGUUGGCGGGGUAACGGCCCACCAAGGCAACGAUCAGCAGGGGUUCUGAGAGGAAGGUCCCCCACAUUGGAACUGAGACACGGUCCAAACUCCUACGGGAGGCAGCAGUGAGGAAUAUUGGUCAAUGGGCGAAAGCCUGAACCAGCCAAGUAGCGUGCAGGAUGACGGCCCUAUGGGUUGUAAACUGCUUUUAUACAGGAAUAAAGUUAGCCACGUGUGGUUAUUUGUAGGUACUGUAUGAAUAAGGACCGGCUAAUUCCGUGCCAGCAGCCGCGGUAA